rnacentral:rRNA from 1 species
UAAAACCAGCUCCUCGAGUGGUCGGGACGAUUAUUGGGCCUAAAGCGUCCGUAGCCGGCCCUGUAAGUCUUCGGUUAAAUCCCACGGCUUAACCGUGGGACUGCCGGGGAUACUGCAGGGCUUGGGGGCGGGAGAGGCCGGGGGUACUCCCGGGGUAGGGGUGAAAUCCUGUAAUCCCGGGGGGACCACCAGUGGCGAAGGCGCCCGGCUGGAACGCGCCCGACGGUGAGGGACGAAAGCCAGGGGAGCGAACCGGAUUAGAUACCCGGGUAGUCCUGGCUGUAAACGAUGCGGGCUAGGUGUUGGGUGGGCUUCGAGCCCGCCCAGUGCCGGAGGGAAGCCGUUAAGCCCGCCGCCUGGGGAGUACGGCCGCAAGGCUG